rnacentral:tRNA from 1 species
AGGAAUGUUGUUCAGUGGUAGAGCAUCGGCUUGGCAUUCAGAAGGUUCCAGGUUCAAUCCCUGGCAUCUCCA